CCAACAGGUUCCAAGGUCAAUCCCCCACUUCAUGUGCAAAACAUGUUAAAGGUAAGAACUUUUUAGAGAGUACAAAAUCAUAUUUUCUCAAUCUCAAUUUAUGCGACAGUGCUUGAAUUUCAAGACCUAAAUAAAUUUUACUUUGAUCGCACUUUUUCAAAUAUUUUUUUAAAUAUUUUAAAUUGUUAAUUAUUAUGACUUAUAAUACUUUUUAACAUAAUUUUUUAUAUAAAUUUAAUUUGUUAAAAGUGAGAAAAAUCUAUAUCCGAAUUCAUAACUAAAAUUAAAAAGUUUGACUCUUUGAAAUUAUGCAUAAACAUAAUGUAUUAAUUCAACAGAACUAAGUAUGGGCGUAAGUUUCCUCCUGCUAUUUAUCUAAUAUGUUGUAUUAAAACCUGCAAAACUUUUCUUACUUAUCUUUUCGGAGCUUGGAGGCUAUUCAAUUUAGUUUCACUAAGGCUGAAAGCAGGCCACUUCUAUAAUCACAACAAACAAAAAGCAGAACAGAGAAGUAAAUUACAAAGCUAAGAAAAAAUUGCAUAACAGAGACAAAAAAACAAUGCAGAAUAGUUAAAGAAGUAUAAAAUAGAGGGGGGAAAUGCACAACAGAGACAAAACACAUAGCAGAUGCUUGUAUUAACCAAAUUUUAUCUAAAGGAAUUAAAUUUUAAGCAGUGUCAAGAACUAGUGAGACGACUCAUCCAACAUAUGAAAACCAAAUGCGAGAUCACUAAACCAAUAUUCAAAUUUUCAACAAAAUUGACAUUAAGCAGAGGAAAAGUAUACUAACUUGCAACUUCACAUCUACAACGCAACAUAAAACAUAAAGAGGGAGGUUAUAAGUUAUGGACAAGUACUCACGAAAUAGUACGAGAAAUUAGAAAAACUUAAAGUUAUAUAUCUUCUGUUUGAUAUUUUCAGCCUCCAUGAAAUAAUCAGAUGGCCCAUAAAUUCCUUGUAUCUGAUAAAUUUAAAGGUUAAAACUCAUCACUAGUUUUGCAGAGCCCCAACAUAUUUGGCUUUAUCAAAAGAUCUAGUUUGGAUACAUUCUUUCAAGAAUUUAGAAGCCCCCAUGAAAACAAGUUACAGAGCUUAGGAUGUUAGAAAAUACAAUAAAGCACAAGAGUUUUUGAUCAGGUAACAAUUUCAUUGAUCACAAGGUCAAAGUUGAUUGUAUACAAAAAAUAUAUCAAGGAGUAAACAACAUACAAAAAAGACAUGAUCCUCUACAAAAGACACCCAAAAUCCUCUAAACAAUACUAAAUAAGGAAGCAAAUUUUACUCCUUUAUCACUAUCAAGUCACAUUAGAGCCACUAAAUUUCAUACGAAACCAAAACAAUUAAGCAAGAUGGUCAGGAUCUUGUUAGCAACUACAGAAAUAGACUAUAAUAACAUGAAAAUGAUUUAACUUAUACACUGACAUCAUGCAACUUAGGCAACAAAUAUAUUCAAAGGUGUUUUUGCUCAACUGAUUUUUUAAAGCAAGGUAGACAUGAAUGCUCUUAUAGCAGUCUAAUCCUUUUCAACAAUAAUAAGUUCAAUUCUAAAUGCAUAAUUCUUCAUUCGACUAUGAAAUUUUCAACUACCCAUUCCACACAGUAUUUAAGUCCUCAUUUGAUGUUAUUCAUAAUAUCAAAUCCACCACCUCUAUAAAAAUGACCCAACAACUUUCACAAAAACUCAAAUCUAAAUCUGAAGGAAAUAAAACUACCCAAGGUAAUAAUAUAUGCACAAGUAAAAGACCCAACAAUGGUUAUAUAAAAGAGACUUAUUAAUCUACAAAUAGUAGGUAGGAGCCUUUAUUCAAUAACUCUUGUAUUUUUGUACAUUGAGUAUAUCUCUCUACUACUUGAAUGUAUCUCUCUACUAUAUUGAAUAUAUGUAAUAAAGCACCCCUAUUUAUAAUACUAACAACCAAAGUAAACUAGGACUAACAAAUUAUAAUUAAACAUAAAUAAAGUAAAUAUCAUAAAUAACAAAUCCUAAACUAUUAAGGAAUUCUAAACUACUUAGGAAUCCUACUGUUCGUUUAUUUCCUACAUAGCCUCUCUUAAACCAAGAUCUUCAAAUAUGACCAUGCCUAGCAUCUUCUUCAACUUUAUGAACAACUCCAAUUUUAAUGGCUUUGUGAAAAUAUCAGCAACUUGUUCUUCGGUCUUGCAAUAUUCAAUCAUUAUCUCUUUAUCAUGGACCAAGUCACGAAUGAAGUGUCAUUUGAUGUCAAUGUGUUUGCUAUGACCAUGAAAAACUGGAUUCUUUGUAAACGCAACUGCAGGCUUGCUAUAACAAAAUAUUUUUGUAGGACUAUCUUGCUUGUGUUGAAGAAAUCGAAGCAUCCUUGUCAACCAUAAUGCUUGUGUAGCACUACUUGUUGCAAUCAUAUACUCUGUUUCAGCAGUUCAUAAAGCAACAACUUGUUGUUUCUUUGAAGACCAUGAAAAUACACUAGAUCCCAAAUAAAAUGUAUAGCCAGAAGUACUUUUUCUUUGCAUCAUAUCACUAGCCCAAUCACUAUCAGUUAAUCCAACAAGAUUACUAUCAUUAGUAUUUGAAUAAAAUAUGUCAUCAGAGUGUGUACCUUAAAUAUAUCUCAAAAUUCUCUUGACGGCUUGCAAGUGAGAUUGACACGGAAACUCCAUAAAUCUACUAAUUAAUCCAACUUCAUAAGUAAUAUCAUGCCUUGUAGAAGUCAAGUAUCUUAGACUCCCUACCAAUUUUCUAAAUUAUGUAGCAUCAACAAAAUCGUGUGUGCCAUCUUUG
rnacentral:lncRNA from 1 species